AGGGCUGUAGCUCAGUGGUUGAGCGCGCAUCUUGCAUGCGUGUGGCCCUGGGUUCGAUCCUCAGCACCACAU
rnacentral:tRNA from 1 species